rnacentral:tRNA from 1 species
GCCGGGAUAGCUCAAUUGGUUGAGCAUGAGACUCUGAAUCUCAGGGUUGUGGGUUCGAGUCCCACAUCGGGCA